AUGUUCAUGUUUCCUACAGUAAAAGUUCCUGGUGAUACCACAGAGAGUCUCGUGUGUUCAUUCAGGAGCGGCUGUGGUGAGCUGACACUAAGCCAAGAAUACGGACACCAUCCCGCUGUAGCGGUGAGGUGUAACAUGCAAGUGGAGGAUGAAGAGCUCUUGGGCGCCGGAGGAGGAAGGUCGGAAAGGGCCACUCCCGAGACGGACGCUGAGUUCCACCAGCUGGCGGCCCUGGCGUCAUCCACCGCUUAUGCCCAGCCAAAUGGGGUAACCCAGAGGCGCGGAGUGGUGCGAGGAGAUAGCACCGGAGGAGAGGAAGGUUCACCUUCCCCAGGCCCGCAAAAGAUGGUGUUUCUGGAGGAGAGGAUGUCGGCGAUGGAGACCACCCUGGCAGUGAUGUCGAGGGCGAUGGAGCGCCUGGCGGUUUUGGCGGAGCCGGAGCGAGGAAGGGAACUCCGGGCUAGCUCAAUGUGGGACGUGAGCAUGGGAAGCAGCCAGGGCUUUGCAGACCUCCCAGCACCGAAGGGAAGGGAAAUGCGAAAGGAGCCCGGUGCCCGGCCCAAGAUCCAAACGAGCCUGACGCGGGUGGAGGAGAGUGACGACGAAGGGGAAAAGCCUCCGAGAAUCCCGGCUACGCUCCCAACUGAGACCCUGGUGCCCCUGGCGAAUGCCGGGCGUGGCACAGGACAAAGGGAAGCAGCAGCGGGGCCCACUGGCCCGCAAGGGGGCUUGCGACGGGCGGAGAAUUGGGGAUUGCCACCACAGGGACCCCUACCGAGACGAGAGGAACUAAGGAUCGAGUUUGGGGGAGAGUCCUCUGAACUGGAUUUUUUCCUGACCACGGUGAGGGGCUAUAUGGAGGACAAUGCCCACACUUUUAGAACGGAAUCCAGCCGGGUACGGGCCAUUGGUGCAGUGUUGAAGAGGGGAGCGGCCAGCUGGUACGUUCAACUACACGCGCGGCGCGACCCAUGUCUGGGGUCACUCCGACGCUUUAUGGGGGCCCUGGAGACCCGUUUCCGAGAUCCACUGGAGCAGAUCCGGGCGAGGGAGGAGUUGAAGACCGUCUCCCAGGGGCAGAGGUCGGUAUCUGAGUAUGCGGAGGAGUUCCAAUGCCUCGCUGAAAAGGUGCCGGAAUGGUCUGCAGUGACAAAGAUAGAACUCUUCAAAGAGGGGCUCAGGCGGGAGAUCCUCUCCUGGGCGGUGCAUCGUGAUGAGCCUGACACACUGCGCGGAUGGAUUCAGCUGGCGGGGCGCAUCGAGACAUCGCUGGCCCAGGCGAGGAGGCACCGAGGAGGGCUACAGCAGCGGCCGCAGAUGAAAGAGGGGAGCCGGAAGGAGGGAUCAACCCCAGCCGGGAGGAGAACGGAGCCGACAGGGAACGUGAGCACCAGCAGGAGGGGCUGCUUCGUGUGCGGCCGUUUGGGCCACAGGGCUGCCGAGUGCUGGCAGAGAAAAGGGGAAGGCGGAGGCCCGCCCAAACCAAGAGCCGUGGCAGGGAAACGCGCCGAGGAAGAACCACCGAUGAGGCACCACUCGGGGGGGUUGGUAAGUCAGGACAAAGCCAUGAUAGUGGUCCCCAUUCAGCUGGAAAGUGGCAGCAAACAAGCAACCUGCAAAGCAUUUGUGGAUUGUGGAUGUUCCAGGAACAUCAUCUCCCCUGAAUUAGCCGAGGGAUUGGGAUGCGAAAGAACGAACCUAGAAUCCCCAAUAGCUUUUUCGCAGUUGGACGGAUCCACAGCAUCGGGAUCAUUAGCUAAGUACAGUGCCGAAGAUGUAAAGUGUAAGAUAGGGAGUUGGAAGGAAAGGUGUCAU
ensembl:lncRNA